rnacentral:rRNA from 1 species
UACGUAGGGGGGCAAGCGUUGUCCGGAUUUAUUGGGCGUAAAGAGCGUGUAGGCGGCUUUACAGGUCCGUUGUGAAAACUCGAGGCUCAACCUCGAGACGCCGGUGGAAACCGUAAGGCUAGAGUCCGGAAGAGGAGAGUGGAAUUCCUGGUGUAGCGGUGAAAUGCGCAGAUAUCAGGAGGAACACCCGUGGCGAAAGCGGCUCUCUGGGACGGUACUGACGCUGAGACGCGAAAGCGUGGGGAGCAAAGCAGGAUUGAGAAACCC